rnacentral:rRNA from 1 species
UAAGGGCGCACGGUGGAUGCCUUGGCACUAGAAGCCGAUGAAGGACGUUACUAACGACGAUAUGCUUUGGGGAGCUGUAAGUAAGCUUUGAUCCAGAGAUUUCCGAAUGGGGAAACCCAGCAUGAGUUAUGUCAUGUUAUCGAUAUGUGAAUACAUAGCAUAUCAGAAGGCACACCCGGAGAACUGAAACAUCUUAGUACCCGGAGGAAGAGAAAGAAAAUUCGAUUCCCUUAGUAGCGGCGAGCGAAACGGGAAGAGCCCAAACCAACAAGCUUGCUUGUUGGGGUUGUAGGACACUCUAUACGGAGUUACAAAGGACGACAUUAGACGAAUCAUCUG